rnacentral:lncRNA from 1 species
UUUCUUGAAUUCUAUGUAAGUUUGUAAAGUAGUACAAAAACAAACAUUUUUACAAAAUCUUAAGUCACCCUAUCAUUAAAGUAAUUUUGUAAAGUAGUUUGCUCUCAACCAAUGUUUUGAAAACCGGACUGGGCCGGUCGGUCGGACCGGUCCGGCCGGGAUCCGGAGCCUAUACCGGGCCGGUUCAGCAUAUCAGUUCGUUUCAGCAUCAGCCCGGCGGUCGGGCCGGGGCGGGGCCGGCGGGUCGUCUCGUAGGGUCGGGCCGGUGUAAGUAUAUCGGAAAGAAAAUAUUUCCGGCGAAGGACGGUUGCCGUAGACUUACCGUUGUUUUUUGAUUAUGUUGAGAUGUAACAGGAAGAAGAUGAAGUGUGUGUGCUAUCUCUGAGAAUGAAAAUAUUUCCGGCGAUGGACGGUUGCCGGAGACUGACCGUUGUUUUUCUUGAUUAUGUUGAGACGUAACAGGAAGAAGAUGAAGCUUGUGUGCCAUCUCUCUCGUACAAUUUGUUUCUGGUGGAGUGGUGACAGCUCAUGAUGAGACAACAUAUAGGGUUUGACUCUUUAAAUUAGUGUCUUAAUAUUUUAUUGUUUGUUUUCGAGAACUCUUAAUUCUUUAAAAUUGUAAUGCAAGCUCAAUUUUAUAGUUAGUUUAUUAUAUUUAGUUAGAAAUAAAGUGCAAGUUCAGUUUGUAAUUAAUUUAUUUUUAUAUUAAGUUAGAAAUAUAUAAGUUUAUAAUGUGUUAUCUUAUGGUUAGAAAUACAUGUAUUCCGGUUCUUAAAUCCGGUCCGAAUGGUUUGACCAGUGAACCGGUAUAGAGACCGGUUCGACGUCCGGUCCGGUUAUGAAAACAUUGCUCUCAACAUAAUGAAAUUGCUGUUGAAUAAAGCUAUUGAUCAUUAAUUUAUAUCAAUUUUGUAAGUCUGCAGUAAUUAUUUUUUACUCUCUAUCAAUAUAUGUUAUGCAUGGUUUUCUAAUAA